AUUGAACGCUGGCGGCAUGCCUUACACAUGCAAGUCGAACGGUAACGGGCCUUCGGGUGCCGACGAGUGGCGAACGGGUGCGUAAUACAUCGGAACGUGCCCGAUCGUGGGGGGUAACGAGGCGAAAGCUUUGCUAAUACCGCAUACGAUCUACGGAUGAAAGCAGGGGACCGCAAGGCCUUGCGCGGACGGAGCGGCCGAUGGCAGAUUAGCUAGUUGGUGGGUUAAAAGCUUACCAAGCCGACGAUCUGUAGCUGGUCUGAGAGGAUGAUCAGCCACACUGGGACUGAGACACGGCCCAGACUCCUACGGGAGGCAGCAGUGGGGAAUUUUGCACAAUGGGCGCAAGCCUGAUCCAGCCAUGCCGCGUGCAGGAUGAAGGCCUUCGGGUUGUAAACUGCUUUUGUACGGAACGAAAAGCCUUCUUUUAAUACAGGAGGGUCAUGACGGUACCGUAAGAAUAAGCACCGGCUAACUACGUG
rnacentral:rRNA from 1 species